CGCGGGGUAGAGCAGUUGGUAGCUCGUCGGGCUCAUAACCCGGAGGUCGCAGGUUCGAGUCCUGCCCCCGCAA
rnacentral:tRNA from 1 species